rnacentral:rRNA from 1 species
AACAAACGCUGGCGGCGUGCCUAAUACAUGCAAGUCGAACGGGGUAGCAAUACCUAGUGGCGCACGGGUGAGGAACGCGUGGAUAAUCUGCCUUAGAAUGGGGGAUAACUAGUCGAAAGAUUAGCUAAUACCGCAUAAGACCACAGGAGCUGCGGCUCUAGGGGUCAAAGGUUUUUCGCUCUAAGAUGAGUCCGCGUAAGAUUAGCUAGUUGGUGAGGUAACGGCUCACCAAGGCGACGAUCUUUAACUGGUCUGAGAGGAUGAUCAGUCACACUGGAACUGAGACACGGUCCAGACUCCUACGGGAGGCAGCAGUAGGGAAUAUUGCACAAUGGAGGAAACUCUGAUGCAGCGACGCCGCGUGAGUGAUGAAGGCCUUCGGGUCGUAAAGCUCUGUCGCAGGGGAAUAACACAGUGAAUGUACCCUGUAAGAAAGGAUCGGCUAACUUCGUGCCAGCAGCCGCCGUAAGAC